CUACCCUAUGGAGGGGGAUAACCCCGGGAAACUGGGGAUAAUACCCCAUAGACUAUAGUUGCUGGAAUGCUUUGUAGUCGAAAGAUUUAUCGCCUAAGAAUAAGUCUGCGGCCGAUUAGGUUGUUGUUGGGGUAAAGGCCCAACAAGCCUACGAUGGGUACGGGUUGUGGGAGCAAUAGCCCGGAGAUGAUAUCUGAGACACGAUAUCAGGCCCUACGGGGCGCAGCAGGCGCGAAAACUUCGCAAUGUGCGAAAGCACGACGAGGGAAUCCCGAGUGCCCGUAAGAGUCAGCUGUUUCUCUGUCUAAAACGCAGAGGGAGUAAGAGCUGGGUAAGACGGGUGCCAGCCGCCGCGGUAAUACCUGCAGCUCAAGUGGUGGCCACUAUUAUUGGGCCUAAAACGUCCGUAGCCGGUUCUAUAAAUGCCUGGGUAAAUCGUACGGCUUAACCGNUACGAUUCCGGGGAGACUGGUCAACUUGGGACCGGGAGAGGCUAGAGGUACUCCUGGGGUAGAGGUGAAAUUCUGUAAUCCUAGGGGGACCACCAGUGGCGAAGGCGUCUAGCUAGAACGGGUCUGACGGUGAGGGACGAAGCCCUGGGGCGCAAACGGGAUUAGAUACCCCGGUAGUCCAGGGUGUAAACGCUGCUUGCUUGAUGUUGCGGUGACCACGAGCCCAAGCAGCGCCGGAGAGAAGUUGUUAAGCGUGCCGCCUGGGAAGUACGGUCGCAAGGCUGAAACUUAA
rnacentral:rRNA from 1 species